CCCAAUCAUGAGGGAAAAGGUGGAGAGAGUCCAGUUUGCACCUUAUUCCACUUUCUAUCUCAAUCAGAUGAUUCCAUCUCCGUCUCCUACAUUCUCACCGGAAAUUGCUCCUCCGUGCCGGAGGCGACGGAGCCUCCCAAAACUAACCAAAAUUAACACUAAUGUAUCCCUCCCAUUCUCCUAUCUUCACCUCUCAGCUUGAUUCCGUCUAAAACCUACUGCAUCCAUCAAACCACAAAAAAUACUCCAAGAACCCUAAUCCUUUAAACAAAAAUUAAAUGCAAACGGAGGGGAAUCAAAGCAUGAUACCUUGGGGCUUUGAUUCCUCUCAGCAUCCUCUACAUCUUGGGAACAAGAUUGAAGUGAAAUCAAAGGGAAAGGUGGAAGAUCCUACCUACAUGGUCGAGGUUCACCCUAGAAAGUGUUGAAGCGGUUGAAGAAGAAAUUACAGUGAAAAAUACCAGAGAUAACUACUGUGUAUAUGGUGGAGUGAACAAGACUUGGCUUAGAAUAGCAUCGUCAAGAUUGGCACGACAUUUCAACAUAGCAUGGAAUCAUGGAUCAUGAAGAGGUUUUUGAGACCUAGAAGACUUGGAGGCAUAAAAUGAAAUUUCUUGAGGAUGAAGAAAAAGUAGGAUUAGGAGUCAAUUUGACUUUUGUCAAUUGUUUGACCAAAAGUCAACAGUUGACCAAAAGUCAAUUUUAUGUCGAAAAUGUGAUUUCUUGUGUAGUGUAAUUUGUGAUGUUGAUUUUUUAAUGUAUGAUGGAUGUUUAAUAUGAAAAAAUUGACCUUGAAUUGUAAUGUGCGACUUGUUUCAUAAGAAAAGUGACUUUCCCUCCAA